AUGGAGAGACUUGUUAAUGUUCAUUACAUUGACAAGGAGGCAUUCUUGAGUAACAAUGCCGACACGGGUGAGGAACCAUUGGUUUUUGAUACAAGCCCUAGCUAUGAGGAUGUUGUUGCAAAAGUGAGACAAGUUUUGAAGUGGAUGGACACCAAUGUUGAUGUUAAGUUAAUAGGAAGGUAUGAUGUUGGAGUUGGAGCCAAAUCUCGCUUGAAAAGUAUGCCUAUCACCUCGGAUUUGCAUUGGGAUGUAUACAAGGAAAAAGUAUCCCAAUCGGAAGACAAGUCACUUGAAUUGUUUGCCACCAAGGUUGAAUCUCCUCGGUUUACCUUUGAUUUGAACCGGCAUGUCUCUUCCCCAAUGGAUGACAUGAGCGUUGAGUUAUAUGCCCCCAAUGCUUCUAGCCAACCAUCAACUAGCCAAGCAAAUGAAGUUGAGGUGAUUGCUAGUGACGGAGUAAUUCAAGAGGAUGAAGAUGCUUAUGAUGACGACGAAGAGCAAGAGGAAGGGUUUCAUGGUAAUGAUGUUGGUGACUUGGAUGCGUACAUAGCGCAAAAGGACAUGGAUCGUGACUUGCCUUUUAGGCGUCAAUAUGCGUAUGACUCGGAUGACGAGGGUCCAGUUGAACAGUUGGACGAGGAUGGAUUCACAAAGGAGGAGAACCAAAUCCACUUUGAGCUGACGGGCUUACAAAAAAGAACUCACUUGUUUAAAGAUCUCAGCCUUGCCCAUAAAGCUGUUGUUGACGGUGGAAUGAGAAUGACGGCGACUGAGCCAACACCAUGCCCGGAUCCAGGAGAACCAAGGGUGGAGAAUGAGGACGAGAAUGCUUAUUUGAAGAAAGGAGUGAAGUUUCUGAGCUUGCCUAUGCUGAAGUUUUGGUUGGCUGACUAUACGAUUCGAAACCAUAGGCCAUUUUAUGUUGAGCACUCCGACAUGAAGUUGUGUUACACCGUGGUGUGUGAGCAAGAAGGAUGCCCAUGGAAGGUUCGUGCAAGAAAGCUUAAAGAAACCGAAGAAUAG
rnacentral:rRNA from 1 species